rnacentral:rRNA from 1 species
CAGUAGCCACGGGAAUACGAAGGGGGCUAGCGUUGUUCGGAUUUACUGGGCGUAAAGCGCACGUAGGCGGAUCGAUCAGUCAGGGGUGAAAUCCCAGAGCUCAACUCUGGAACUGCCUUUGAUACUGUCGAUCUGGAGUAUGGAAGAGGUGAGUGGAAUUCCGAGCGUAGAGGUGAAAUUCGUAGAUAUUCGGAAGAACACCAGUGGCGAAGGCGGCUUACUGGCUCAUUCUAGACGCUGAGGUGCGAAAGCGUGGGGAGCAAACAGGAUUAGAUACCCCCGUAGUCCCUGUCUCUUAUAC